rnacentral:pre_miRNA from 1 species
ACAACAACAUUCGGACCGUCGGUCUACCGAGCAAUAUCACCGGCUCGGUGGAAGAUCUUCCUUUCGUCGUUCAGC